UACGGAGGGUGCAAGCGUUGUCCGGAAUCACUGGGCGUAAAGGGUGCGUAGGCGGGUUUUUAAGUCAGAGGUGAAAUCCUGGAGCUCAACUCCAGAACUGCCUUUGAUACUGAAAGUCUUGAGUAUGGGAGAGGUGAGUGGAACUGCGAGUGUAGAGGUGAAAUUCGUAGAUAUUCGCAAGAACACCAGUGGCGAAGGCGGCUCACUGGCCCAUAACUGACGCUGAGGCACGAAAGCGUGGGGAGCAAACAGG
rnacentral:rRNA from 1 species